GAUGAACGCUGGCGGCGUGCCUAAUACAUGCAAGUCGAGCGAACAGACGAGGAGCUUGCUCCUCUGACGUUAGCGGCGGACGGGUGAGUAACACGUGGAUAACCUACCUAUAAGACUGGGAUAACUUCGGGAAACCGGAGCUAAUACCGGAUAAUAUAUUGAACCGCAUGGUUCAAUAGUGAAAGACGGUUUUGCUGUCACUUAUAGAUGGAUCCGCGCCGCAUUAGCGAGUUGGUAAGGUAACGGCUUACCAAGGCAACGAUGCGUAGCCGACCUGAGAGGGUGAUCGGCCACACUGGAACUGAGACACGGUCCAGACUCCUCCGGGAGGCAGCAGUAGGGAAUCUUCCGCAAUGGGCGAAAGCCUGACGGAGCAACGCCGCGUGAGUGAUGAAGGUCUUCGGAUCGUAAAACUCUGUUAUUAGGGAAGAACAAAUGUGUAAGUAACUAUGCACGUCUUGACGGUACCUAAUCAGAAAGCCACGGCUAACUACGUG
rnacentral:rRNA from 1 species